UACGAGGGGUGCAAACGUUGCUCGGAAUUAUUGGGCGUAAAGAGCUCGUAGGCGGCUUGUUGCGUCAGCUGUGAAAACCCGCAGCUCAACUGUGGGCUUGCAGCUGAUACGGGCAGGCUUGAGUUCGGUAGGGGAGACUGGAAUUCCUGGUGUAGCGGUGAAAUGCGCAGAUAUCAGGAGGGACACCGAUGGCGAAGGCAGCUCGCUGGGACGGUACUGACGCUGAGGCGCGAAAGCGUGGGGAGCAAACAGG
rnacentral:rRNA from 1 species